AUUCUUUUUCUGGCAUUGGACCUGUCGCUGUCGGGUUCAUGAGUACAGCCCACUGGUCAUCCAUAAAAAGCCCACGCUCUCCCUAUUUCUCAGCGCCAGGCACUAGAGAAGAUUUCUAAGCUCAAAUCUCUUAAAGGUACCAAACGUUUAUCAUCCCUUUCUAGCAACUUUUAAGGGUAUAUCUCACAUUUUCUUCAUGCUCGAUUGCAGGUUUUGAAUUAGGGUGAAACCAUUGAGUUACAUGGAUGCAAAUUAUCAUGCAGCCACUAGAGAAGAUUUCUAAGCUCAAAUCUCUUAAAGGUACCAAACGUUUAUCAUCCCUUUCUAGCAACUUUUAAGGGUAUAUCUCACAUUUUCUUCAUGCUCGAUUGCAGGUUUUGAAUUAGGGUGAAACCAUUGAGUUACAUGGAUGCAAAUUAUCAUGCAGCUGCUUGAAAAAGCAGGAAGUCAUUACCAGAAAGAGUGGUUUUUUAUAUGGUUUGGUGACUUCUGCAUCUUAAUUGGGUGCUAUCCUACUGAGCUUUUCUACUCCUUUCUUUCUUUCUUUGUCUGACUUGUGUGUUCUUGACCUUGUAAGACCUUUUCUUGACCUUGUAAGACCUCAUGCCGUGUCUUUUCUUUUUAUUUUGUGUCGUUUUUCAAUUUUUACAGCAGAAUUUUCUGAUGUAGGAUUGGUUGUUCUCCUUCUCCGUUUCCACCCAACUCACUUUCUCCUUUCUUGUCUAUCCCUCCUGAGCUAUUUCGUAUAAAGUAUUCAUAAGCUAAUGCUAUGUAGUAUAUAUUCUUCUGGUAUGGCCAACCGUGUUAGACAGGCAGAAAGCCUGAUAUAUAUAGAAAUGUAUUGAAUUUUGAGGCCCAAGUUUCAUUGUUUUUAUUUUAUGUAUGUUUUUGGUCAGAGAAUUAAGUUGCAAGAAAAUAAAUAUCAUUCCUGCACAUCUGUUAAAAUGGAGUUUUUUUUUCUCGUGACUGCUGGCUCUAAUGUACAAAAUAAAAAUAUAAAUAGACUGCACUCUCUUG
rnacentral:lncRNA from 1 species